GGCCUACGGGUGGCAGCAGUGGGGAAUUGUUCGCAAUGGGCGCAAGCCUGACGACGCAACGCCGCGUGGAGGAUGAAGGUCUUCGGAUUGUAAACUCCUGUUGAUCGGGACGAAAAGCCUCGACCUAACACGUCGAGGACUGACGGUACCGGUUGAGGAAGCCACGGCUAACUCUGUGCCAGCAGCCGCGGUAAUACAGAGGUGGCAAGCGUUGUUCGGAAUUACUGGGCGUAGAGGUCGCGUAGGCGGCCUUCGAAGUCGGACGUGAAGGCCCCAGGCUUAACCUGGGAACUGCGUCCGAUACUGGGAGGCUUGGAUUCGGGAGAGGGAUGUGGAAUUCCAGGUGUAGCGGUGAAAUGCGUAGAUAUCUGGAGGAACACCGGUGGCGAAGGCGGCAUCCUGGACCGAGAUCGACGCUGAGGCGCGAAAGCUAGGGGAGCAAACGGGAUUAGAUACCCCGGUAGUCCCA
rnacentral:rRNA from 1 species